rnacentral:rRNA from 1 species
UACGUAGGGGGCUAGCGUUGUCCGGAAUCAUCGGGCGUAAAGAGCGUGUAGGCGGCCCGGUAAGUCCGCUGUAAAAGUCAAAGGCUCAACCUUUGAAUGUCAGUGGAUACUGCCGGGCUAGAGUCCGGAAGAGGCGAGUGGAACUCCUGGUGUAGCGGUGGAAUGCGCAGAUAUCAGGAAGAACACCAACGGCGAAGGCAGCUCGCUGGGACGGUACUGACGCUGAGACGCGAAAGCGUGGGGAGCGAACAGG